UACGGAGGGGGCUAGCGUUGUUCGGAAUUACUGGGCGUAAAGCGCACGUAGGCGGCUUUGUAAGCUAGAGGUGAAAGCCUGGUGCUCAACACCAGAAUUGCCUUUAAGACUGCAUCGCUUGAACGUCGGAGAGGUGAGUGGAAUUCCGAGUGUAGAGGUGAAAUUCGUAGAUAUUCGGAAGAACACCAGUGGCGAAGGCGGCUCACUGGACGACUGUUGACGCUGAGGUGCGAAAGCGUGGGGAGCAAACAGG
rnacentral:rRNA from 1 species